CAUACUUUAGCAAUCAAUCUCAAUCUGCGAUAUAAUAGUAGUAAUGCUUUCUUUGCUUUCCAUAAUUCAUAAUACUAUAAUACUCUCUUGUCUGUUCUGUCCUUUUCAUUCUUAUGAAGCCAAUGAAAUUAAAUCCCUCAUUUUUAAAGAAAUUAACUCUCGAGAUUUCCAUACACACCCCAUCAUUCUUUUAUCUGAUCAAAACUAUCUACCUAUAUGUGCCUCUUUUACCUUUUACUAUUCUUUUAUUUGUUUUUUCCGUUCCUCUUUCAUUAUUUUCUCUGGGUUCUCAAUUCUGUUCAUGAUAAAUAAAAACAGGAAUGAAUCAACUCAGUUUCUUAUUAUAUGAAUCAACGCGGAGAGAAAGGAAAGUAAACAAUUCUUAGAUUGUUGAGACAGCAAAUGAACAGUGUAGAUGGGAGGAUAAGAAUGACGAAGAUGGGUCUACAGGAGCCAUUAGCUUCAGUGAUGAUGAGGAAUAACCACCGAAAGGCUCCAUUGCACUCUGUUUUGUUCUCUUCAACGACACAAAGAAUAAUUAAUUUAAAUACUAGUAUAAUCUAAUUUUUUAUUAUUUUUCAUUGACCACGUGUGCCACACAGAGUGAAAAAAAAGAUAGGAAUUGCGCUUUUUGUACAUUUUUUAACCAAAGGCCACGACGGAUUUGAAAAAAAAGAUGACAUAUGAGCAUUUUGUGUUUAGGAUGCACGUUUAAAGGGUAUGUGAGCGUUCUUCCUUUUCUUUUUUGAUUUUGAUUUUUUUGAUUUCUUUUUUUCCUUAAAAGGAAGGUAUAUCCCAUUAAGAGAUUGUUCAGUGAUUUUUUUUAUCUUUGAUUGAAAUAUUUCCUUGAUUUUUCAUUUUUAUUAUAGUUACAGUAAGGAUGAAUUGUUGAUUAGCGGAAAUCAUAUUAUGCAGGAUUGGGAUUGUGUUGAACUUGAGAUGGGCUAUUGAAGUAGAUAAACCAGCGGCAUAAAGCCCUGGUCCGCGGAAUGCAUAAUGCCUGACAUACUUAGGUUCAGAGAAUUCC
rnacentral:lncRNA from 1 species